rnacentral:lncRNA from 1 species
GAUGGCAUCACCGACUCUAUGGACAUGAGUUUGAGCAAGCUCUGGGAGAUAGUGCAGGACAGGGAAGCCUAGCAUGCUGCAGUCCAUGGGGUGGCGAAGAGUUGGACACAACUUAGUGACUCACUGACAACAACAUGGCCAGAGGUGAUACCUCUAUAAUGGUAGAGAUGAUUCUUAUUUUUCCCUCAUAGCUUUUUCAGAAUCAGCUCAGAAGCAAUUCAUGACUUUUAUUUUUUAGGGUCAGAAGUUCCCGUAUCCAUGAAUUAAGUGAAAUGUAAAGGUCUUGGAUGCUGAAGCUGGUGUCUUGCGUCAGGGCUUUGUUUGGCUGAUAUUUCAGAGGAAAGUCAAACUAGUAUAACAAAUCAGUUGAGCCAUGUUAGAGUAAAAUCUGUACCAACAAAGAUACACACACUGAAAGAUUGAAGGAGACCAAUAAUAUGACUUAAUUUUGACGAUCAAGAUUGUAAUCUUAGAAGAUGUUAGAACUGUAGCACAAAAUUGACACAUGGUGAGGAAAGGUGGUGGUAGGGUGGGCUGAUGGCUGGAUUCUUCAAGAGGAAAAUGGAUGAAGAGAAUCAGGACCUUUGAAAAGGUGGAAAUCCAUUGAUACUUGAAAUCUGACACAUGAAAACAUGUUUGUGGGAACAGUCUGCUGCUUGUGAAUACAUUUAUUAGUGAACCAAAAAUACCCUGUGGAUUAAAACAUUUCCUCACCCAUUAGCAAUCAAGGAUAGAGUACAUGUUUAAAAAGGAAAUUAAUUUUAAUAGCUUUUGAUAUGUUUGAAUGGGACCAUACAUCAUUUUUGCAAAGCUUCAGUGAUAUUCUUUAAACCAAUAGCAGGUCUGACCACAUUUCCGUUAGUUUCCCAUAAUGAAUGAACUUGUGAACCCCUGAACCCAUGUCUGCCUUCAGACAUUUCAAUGGUGUUGGCUUCUCUCAUCCUUUCAGCUUGGCAGGAUUCUGGUUAAUUUUCCUUGUUUUUAUUGUGAAAUUUUAUGCAGUGGCUCAUGUGCAGGGAGAAAAGUGAAAAAAAUUAUCAUUUUUAAACAAGCAGUUCCCAACCUUUUUGGCACGAGGGACCAGUUUCUUGUAGACAACUUUUCCAUGAACCUGUUGGGGGUAUGGUUUUGGGAUGAUUUAAGUGCAUUACACUUAUUGUGCUCCUUAUUUCUAUUAUUAUUUUAUCAACUCCACCUCAGAUCAGCAGGCAUUAGAUCCUGGAGGUUGGGGACCCCUGAUUUAAGCAGUCUUUUUGGAUUGAAUGAUGGAAAUCUGGGGAUGACAGAGGAUGAGAUGGUUGGAUGGCAUCAUUGACUCAAUGGGC